rnacentral:rRNA from 1 species
UACGUAGGGUGCAAGCGUUGUCCGGAAUUACUGGGCGUAAAGGGCGCGUAGGCGGCCUUCUAAGUCAGACGUGAAAUCCCCCGGCUUAACCUGGGAACUGCGUCUGAUACUGGGAGGCUUGAGUAUGGGAGAGGGAUGUAGAAUUCCAGGUGUAGCGGUGAAAUGCGUAGAUAUCUGGAGGAAUACCGGUGGCGAAGGCGGCAUCCUGGACCAUAACUGACGCUGAGGCGCGAAAGCUAGGGGAGCAAACAGG